rnacentral:lncRNA from 1 species
AAACCAUAACAUCUCUUUCACUCAUCUCUCUAAAAAAAACCUAACAUCUCUCUCACUCGUCCUUCUCAUAUGGAAACCCUAAACACAUCCAGUCAAUUCGUCUUCUUCGAAGUAUUCCCUUGUUUGAUCAAAUCUUAGCAAAUGACUACUUUAUAAGUUUGUCUUCAUUAUAAUUUAUAUUAUAAUAUUUAUUUAUCUAUUAUUGUU